rnacentral:rRNA from 1 species
GAUGAACGCUAGCUACAGGCUUAACACAUGCAAGUCGAGGGGCAGCAUGAACUUAGCUUGCUAAGUUGAUGGCGACCGGCGCACGGGUGAGUAACACGUAUCCAACCUGCCGAUGACUCGGGGAUAGCCUUUCGAAAGAAAGAUUAAUACCCGAUGGCAUAGUUCUUCCGCAUGGUAGAACUAUUAAAGGAUUUCGGUCAUCGAUGGGGAUGCGUUCCAUUAGGUUGUUGGCGGGGUAACGGCCCACCUAGUCUUCGAUGGAUAGGGGUUCUGAGAGGAAGGUCCCCCACAUUGGAACUGAGACACGGUCCAAACUCCUACGGGAGGCAGCAGUGAGGAAUAUUGGUCAAUGGGCGCAGGCCUGAACCAGCCAAGUAGCGUGAAGGAUGACUGCCCUAUGGGUUGUAAACUUCUUUUAUAAAGGAAUAAAGUCGGGUAUGUAUACCCGUUUGCAUGUACUUUAUGAAUAAGGAUCGGCUAACUCCGUG